GUGGCUAUAGCUCAGCGGUUAGAGCGCCGCUCUGUGGAAGCGGAGAUGAGGGUUCGAUUCCCUCUAGCCACCUGCCA
rnacentral:tRNA from 1 species